CAGAAAACUACGCUUCUGAACAAAUUCAGCAUUCCCUUCUCUUUGGUUUUUCGCAGACCGACAAUGCCAAGUCGGCGAGGUGUACAAGACGGGCCAGAGCAGCACCUGCGGCGAGCGCAAGUGCGGUGAACUAGAUCCAAAGGUCGUCAAGCCAUGCACUUACGACUAUGUGAGCGGAUGCUUCUGCGAUGACGCUUACUACCGGAGAGAAUUGGACAACAAGUGUGUGCUCCAGGAAGAUUGCCCAUAGCGCCCUUUCAGCAUCGAAGAGCCGCUGUUGGGGAAUGUAAGCGUGUGCUCACGCGAAGAACGGGAACUACAGGAAUAAUAAUAAACAAAUAAACAGAUGAA
rnacentral:lncRNA from 1 species